GACCCGGGCGGCGGCAGCCCCGCGCCUUCCGGGAUGUGUACGCAGAGCCCUUGGUUCUCUUAGCAACUUGUACCUUGUGGAAAAAGAGACGAGUGCCAACACGCCUCGGCCUGCUAGGAGCGCUAAAUCCCCUCCCGUGCUUCUUUUUUCAAGGCGGUCUCCGAUUCGUUGUCACCAGAUAUACUUAACUUCUUCCCAGCAUGAGAGUGGCAGAGAAGCUUCUGUAAACUGCUCCCAUUUCCUGCUGAUUUCUUCAAGAGGCAGCAUCCUAUGUCAGGCGUAAGGAAACAAAACCAACCUAUAGACGUGGGUAUAGUCUCCUCUAUCAAAAUCUUUAAGAGUGACCACUAAAUCCUGAUUGUUUGAAGGAAGGAAGUACUCUGGGUCAACCUAGCUAGACCCAAAGGUUUAUGUGUGUGUUGGUGGUAAUGUUAUGGGAAAGGGGUAAGAUUCUUCACUCUUAAAAACAUAUCUCCUGGCGCGAGGAAAGGAGGACCGAGGGUUUCCUUCUGCUGGGAGCUCAGGGGCUGGGCAGUCGGGCUUGGGGCCCCCUGGUGAGGGGCAGCAGGGCUUCUCUGAGACCAAGGAGGAAGCGGCGUCCGAUAAUCGUCAGAAUGGGAGUGAAUGACUUGUGGAAAAUUUUGGAGCCUCUGAAGCAACACGUCCACCUACGGAGUCGUAGUGGGAAAACCAUUGCAGUUGACCUGAGUGUCUGGGUGUGUGAGGCGCAGUCUGUUAGAAAAAUGGUGGGGACUGUUAUGAAGCCCCACCUCAGGAACUUAUUUUUUCGUGUCUCCCAUUUAAUGCAAAUGGAUAUAAGAUUGGUGUUUGUUAUGGAGGGGGAACCUGCAAGCUGAAAGCUGGUGUCACGAGCAAGAGGAAUCAGAUGUGGUACGGGCCUUCUGGGAAAAUAUGGUCUCAGAGAAUAGGAAGGUCAUGUUUUAAGUUGGUCUUACGAGAGUGCCUUGAAAUGCUGGAGUGCUUAGGCGUGCCCUGGGUGCAAGCAGCAGGGGAAGCUGAGGCCUUGUGUGCUCACCUCAAUUUCGCUGGCCAUGUUGACGGCUGCCUCAUGAACGACGGAGAUGCUUUCCUCUAUGGGGCCCAGACGGUGUACAGGAAUUUCACCAUGAAUGCAAAGGACCCACAUGUUGACUGUUAUACCAUGUCAUCUGUCAAGAAUAAACUAGGCUUGGACAGAGAUGCUCUGGUUGGAUUAGCCAUACUUGGAUGUGAUUACCUUCCAAAGGUGUUCUGGCUUGUAUCUAGAUGUCCCCCAAGUGUGUAAUGCUGGGAUUAAGGGUGCCCCACCCUGGGUGUGUGUGGCUCAGUCAAUAGCCGUACAGCCUGGAUGGACUAUAGAGGGACAGAAAGAAGGUGUUUCUGCUGCUUCUUUGCUGCUGCCUGCUGCUGCCUACUACUCCCUGCUUGCUGCUUUGAUAACUUCUGCCCACUAUAAACUGUUUCUCCUCUGCCAUGCUGACUAUGGAACGAGACCUUUACAAACUGAGCUGAAGUAAACCUUUCAUUUUUACCUUUGGGUGUCAGGUAUUUUAUCUCAGCAAUGAGAAAAGUAACUAAGAAAAAAUUUGAUACAGAAAUGAGGUUGCUGUAAGUGUACCUGACCAUGUGGUUCAGGAGCCUUUGGAAUUGGCUAGUGGGAAGAAUUUGGAAAGGUUUGGAGAUACCACCUGAAGAAACAGCCCUGGAAUGCUUUAAGCUGUACUUGAUGGGAGAUUCUAGUCAGCUCAGAAGACCAGAAUGCUGAUAGAAAUGCUGCCAAUAAAGACCAAUCUUAGAACGUUUCUGCUGGGAAUGAGGACUGCAUUGGCUGUUGGACUCCACAUCAUGUAUGUCAUGCUUUGGCAGAAAAUUUGUCUGCAUUUUGCUCAUGUCCAGAGACUUUGCCUGGAACUGAGACUAAAGCCAGCAGACUAAUUAAUCUGCCAGAAGAAAUUUCAAGGCAGUCUAAUGUUGAGGUGGUGGCAUGGCCACUAUUGGGGGCUUUUAAUCAGAUUUAUGUUGAGAAUCAAGAGCAAAGAGCCCAGCAGAAUGAUUUAAAAUGUUGUGAGUUUUGCCAGAAAGGAAGUUCUGGUAAAGCUGCAGACUGCAAAGAUGGAGAAGAGGAGAACUUGAUUGCUGAGAAGCAAUGAGAAUAGAAAAGGUAGCCUGAAGACAUCACAAGAACCAGCAGGACUCUGGCUUUUGCAACCUCAGAAUUACAAAUGUGAAAGACUUUGCUUUGAGAAGAAAGCCCCAGAGCACCAUGUUCCAGAAUGGCAGUGGCCUAGGGAAGUUCUUCUUCAGGAUUUGGUUCCUAGUGCUCAGUAAUCCAAGCACUCAUUUCUACAGCCAAGAGAGAAGGAAGCCUGGCUACUGCUUCAGCUGGCAGCAGACUUUGGCAUCGACCACUUGGUGCUGCUUUUAGGUGCAUGCAGAAUGUAAGAGUGGUGGGAUGAGAUAGGCUUCCCCUCAGAUUUCAGAAGAAGACCUCGGAGGCCAGUGUGUGAAACUGAGUGUGAAGCUGAAGGUAUAGUGCAAACUUCAACAGGUGGGAGAAGCCAGGAACAUAGAUCAUUGAGGAAAUCUGCAAGGAAUGAGCAAAGCUGGCCAAAGAGACUAGCCAUGGUAGCUACAACCACCGGAAGUGCUGUAGGGGGCGGAGCCACUCAAGCCCUUUGGAGUUCACAACUUGCCACAGAUUGCAUGGGAUACUGGACAAUGGAACUACAGGAUUUAAUGUUCGCUGGAUUAAUCCUUGCUGGAUUUUGGUCUUGCUUUGUUCCCAUUCCUUUUUAUCCCCCUCUUUGUACCUUUUGGGAUAGAAAUGUUUAUCCUGUGCCAUUGUAUGUUGAAGUGUUAACUUUCUUUUCAUUUAUGUGGGGUGUGCAGCUAAGAGUUUGCCUUCACGACCUCAGGACCCUGUCUGCAGGCCUGCCUGUCUGCAGUGGGCUGAUUCGGUGUUUUCAGCAUGACUCAAGUUGAUUUUCUUUGACUUGGUUGCCUUUCUUAUCAUUCCAUAACAUAUUUAUGAAAUAGGAAGAAAAGGCCUAAAGGAGUAGGGGAAGUGGGAGGGGUAGGGGAAAGGAAAGAAGGGAA